CGUCUAGUAGCUCAGAAGCAAGAGCAUCGGUGUUGUAAUCCGAUCGCGCGGGUUAAAACCCCGCCUGACGC
rnacentral:tRNA from 1 species